rnacentral:rRNA from 1 species
CCUACGGGAGGCAGCAGUGGGGAAUAUUGCUCAAUGGGGGCAACCCUGAAGCAGCAAAGCCGCGUGAAGGAUGAAGGUUUUCGGAUUGUAAACUCCUUUUGUUAGAGGAGUUAAUGACGGUAUGUAACGCAUAAGCACCGGAUAACUCCGUGCCAGCAGCCGCGGUAAUACGGCGGGUGCAAGCGUUACUCGGAUUUACUGGGCGUAAAGAGCGCGUAGGCGGGUUAGAAAGUCAGAUGUGAAAUCCUUUGGCUUAACCAUAGAACUGCAUUUGAAACUGUUAUUCUGGAGUAUGGGCGAGGUAGGUGGAAUUCGUGGUGUAGGGGUAAAAUGCGUAGAGAUCAAGAGGAAUACUGAUUGCGAAGGCGACCUGCUAGAACAUAACUGACGCUGAUGCGCGAAAGCGUGGGUAGCAAACAGGAUUAGAUACCCGUGUAGUC